GCAUUUUACUCUUGAAACAUUGAUGUUUUAUUUUAGUGUAUAGCACAACUCUUUGAAUGCAACUAAUGAUCUUUUUUCUAAAUAGUUUUUUCUAAAGAGUUCUAAAUAGUUUCUAAAUAUUCUUUUUAAAUAGUUGCCCAACUUCUUUCCCCACUGAUCUAAAAGGCGCUCUUGUCACAUAAUAAUAACAGUUAUAUAGUAAUUAUUGUAUAAUAC
rnacentral:lncRNA from 1 species